rnacentral:rRNA from 1 species
UACGGGGGGGGUAAGCGUUGUUCGGAAUUACUGGGCGUAAAGGGCUCGUAGGCGGCCAACUAAGUCAUACGUGAAAUCCCUCAGCUUAACUGGGGAACUGCGUGUGAUACUGGAUGGCUUGAAUUCGGGAGAGGGAUGCAGAAUUCCAGGUGUAGCGGUGAAAUGCGUAGAUAUCUGGAGGAAUACCGGUGGCGAAGGCGGCAUCCUGGACCGAGAUUGACACUGAUGAGCGAAAGCUAGGGGAGCAAACGGG